UACGUAGGGGGCAAGCGUUAUCCGGAUUUACUGGGUGUAAAGGGGGCGCAGACGGCGCGGCAAGUCCGGAGUGAAAUCCCAGGGCCCAACCCUGGGGCUGCUCUGGAAACUGCCGGGCUGGAGUGCUGGAGGGGCAGGCGGAAUUCCUAGUGUAGCGGUGAAAUGCGUAGAUAUACGGAGGAACACCAGUGGCGAAGGCGGAUUGCUGGACAGUAACUGACGCUGAGGCGCGAAAGCGUGGGGAGCAAACAGG
rnacentral:rRNA from 1 species